rnacentral:rRNA from 1 species
GGUUAAGCGACUAAGCGUACACGGUGGAUGCCCUGGCAGUCAGAGGCGAUGAAGGACGUGCUAAUCUGCGAUAAGCGUCGGUAAGGUGAUAUGAACCGUUAUAACCGGCGAUUUCCGAAUGGGGAAACCCAGUGUGUUUCGACACACUAUCAUUAACUGAAUCCAUAGGUUAAUGAGGCGAACCGGGGGAACUGAAACAUCUAAGUACCCCGAGGAAAAGAAAUCAACCGAGAUUCCCCCAGUAGCGGCGAGCGAACGGGGAGCAGC